UUGGGCCGAGGUCGACGACGGGGUCGACCUCUCCGUGGAGACAGCCAAGGCGGCCGUGAGCCACGCCGCCACGAGCCACCACGAGCACGGCGGCGAGCUCAGCGAUCUGGAGUCGGAUCUGGUGGGGCGGCAGAAGACUGGCUGCUCGUCGUCGCCGGCGGCAACAACGCCGGCUGCAGAGCUGAUCGUGCCGCCAGCACAGCAGAUCUAGCAAUUCCAGGUGAAGAGAAGAGAGCCGAUUUGUGCUUGCUAAUCACUGGCGGAGACCUACAGUGCUACUUGCAUGUGUGCGUUGCGUGCAGAUCCAGCAAUUCCAGGAUUUUUGCCACACCAUGUGUGCGUUGCGUGCUUCGAAUGGAUUGAAAUCCAAAUCCAUUUCGUCUUGCCACUGCACUACACCUGCACGCCUGCACCUGCACGCCCGGCCGAGCUCUUGACCGGUGGUACAAAAGGGUUUUUCAUCAACAAGUGGUCACCAAAAGAAGAACUGAAACAUCAAGAUGGUGUUUGCUUCUACAUUUUACCAUUGAGGAUAUGAUGCUAAACUGAAGUCAUGUAUUAUGCUAUGCAUUCAGAAGAUGAUGCUAAACUGAAUAAGCACAUCAAUCUGAUUUUUCUAUGCACUGAGACUAUGUUUGUAUUAUUGUUAUGCAAUGCAA
rnacentral:misc_RNA from 1 species